rnacentral:rRNA from 1 species
UACGGGGGGGGCAAGCGUUGUUCGGAAUUACUGGGCGUAAAGGGUUCGUAGGUGGCCAACUAAGUCAGACGUGAAAUCCCUCAGCUCAACUGGGGAACUGCGUCUGAUACUGGUCGGCUUGAGUGCAGGAGAGGAACGCGGAAUUCCAGGUGUAGCGGUGAAAUGCGUAGAUAUCUGGAGGAACACCGGUGGCGAAGGCGGCGUUCUGGACUGCAACUGACACUGAGGAACGAAGGCCAGGGGAGCAAACGGG